rnacentral:rRNA from 1 species
AUGAUUCCUACUUCUUUUGGAAAUCUAUCGAACCUGACAAUUAUUUCACUUUUGAAUAAUCAGCUAUCCGGUGCUAUACCUUCCUCGCUUGGUCGCCUAACUAAUAUGGUAACACUUAUCCUGGACCAAAACAACCUGACUGGUUCUAUACCUCCUACUAUUUGGAACAUGUCAUCUUUGGUUCUAUUUUCCGUAGAAACCAAUGAGCUUACCGGGACAGUACCUCCAAAUGCACUCAGUAAACUUUCUGCUCUCGAGAUUUUCUCUUUAGUGGAGAAUAAUUUUCAUGGGCAGAUUCCUUCUUCGCUUCCUAAUGCUACCGGCCUAAUUCAAUUUGAAAUCGCAAUCAACCACUUCAGCGGCACUAUUCCUCCAAAGCUUGGCGGGUUACAGGGCCUCCAAUUUUUUGUUCUAGCAUUUAAUGCAUUUGAAGCUAAAAACCAUCAUGAAUGGAAUUUUAUGCACGCAUUAACAAAUUGCUCCGAGUUACAAGCUUUGGAAUUGAAUGAUAAUAAGCUUAGUGGAACGUUUCCUUCUGCAGCUUCCAAUUUAUCCACAAAGCUACCAUAUCUUUCCCUAGCUGGCAACACAAUUUCAGGUCAUGUUCCUAGAGAGAUUGGUAACCUCGUUGGUUUAAGGUCUCUCCAAAUAGACAGCAAUUCACUGACUGGAUUUCUCCCAUCUUCAUUUAGUAUGCUUCGGAAUCUAAGACGUUUGACGCUAGAUAACAAUGUCUUCAGCGGGCCCAUCCGACCUACUUUUCUAGGUAACUGUACUCAGCUAAACAUCUUUUCCCUUUCGAUGAAUUCCUUUAGUGGAAUCAUUCCAAGCACCAUAGGAAACAUGGUGUCCCUCUUGAUACUAGACCUAUCUACUAACCAUUUUACAGGGACAAUCCCUAGCAGUUUGUUCAAUAUCACGACACUUUCCAUACAACUAGGUAUCUCUAAUAAUCAUUUCGAAGGACCAAUACCACCUGAGAUUGGGAACCUACAAAAUCUUGUAGUGUUUGAUGCCAUGUUCAAUCGGCUCACUGGGGAAAUUCCUGCCACUCUAGGAAAAUGUCAGCUUCUCCAAACCAUCAACCUGCAAAACAAUUCAUUGGCGGGUAAUAUUCCAUCACUCUUGAGUGGGUUGAAGGGUUUGGAAAUUCUCAAUCUCUCAAGAAACAAUUUUUCAGGCCAAAUACCAAACUUCCUAGGAGAUUUCACAAGUCUCGCACAUCUUGACCUUUCUUUCAACAAUUUUGAUGGAGAAGUGCCAAAAGUUGGUGUUUUUGCAAAUGCUACUAAGAUUUGGGUCGUGGGUAAUAGCAAGCUUUGUGGGGGCUUUCAAGACCUUCAUUUGCCCCCAUGUUCUCUUCAAAUUUUGAAGAGAAAACAUAAAAUUCCAGUGCUCGCAAUUGUUCUUUCACUUGUUGCAACAACAAUAUGCAUCCUUUUGUUGCUCAUGUUCUUCCUUGAUUACUACAAGAGAAAAUCAAGGGAAACUCCUUCAACAAUGUCCACACAAGGCCACAAAGUUGUCUCCUACCAACAGUUGGUAGAAGCAACAAAUGGUUUCUCAACAUUAAAUUUGUUGGGCAGUGGGAGCUAUGGAUCUGUUUACAGAGCUAACUUGCAUGAUGACAUAAGUGGGCAAGAAAACAUUGUCGCUCUGAAAGUACUAAAACUUCACACCCCUGGAGCGCUCAAGAGUUUCACAUCUGAGUGUGAGGCGAUGAGAAAUUUACGACAUCGAAACCUUGUCAAGGUCAUCACAGCAUGCUCAAGCAUCGACUUCAAUGGGAAUGAUUUCAAGGCUAUAGUGCUUGAUUUUAUGCCCAAUGGUAAUUUGGAAGAGUGGCUUCAUCCUUUCACAAACCACCAACCAGGGGCUAGGAACUUAAGUCUUGCCCAAAGAAUGAGCAUACUCUUUGAUGUGGCUAAUGCAUUGGAAUAUCUCCAUUGCAAUGGAGGUGCACCAAUUGUUCAUUGUGAUCUUAAGCCAAGUAAUGUCCUUCUGGAUUCUGAUAUGUUAGCUCAUGUUGGUGACUUUGGAUUAUCGAGGAUUCUUAUAGAGGGAUGCUCAUAUUUCCAAGCCUCAACGAACUCGAUGGGAUUUAGAGGCACUAUUGGUUAUGCUCCUCCAGAAUAUGGUGCUGGCAAUAUGGUUUCAACUCAUGGAGACAUUUAUAGCUAUGGAGUUCUUAUUCUUGAAAUGGUUACUGCGAGGAGGCCCACAGAUAACAUGUUUGACCAAGGAUUAAACCUUCGCAAGUAUGUCAAGAUAGCCUUUGAAAGCAGAAUGAUGGACAUUGUCGACCCUGAAUUGGCUGAAGAGCUUGAAAAUGGCCCAGCAACAACAGAUGGCCCAUCAAACCAAAGGAAGGUUGAUGCUCUGAUUUCUCUAGUUAAACUUGGGAUGCUCUGCUCUGAGGAAAUACCAUCGAGUAGAAUAUCAACCAAAGAUAUCAUCAGGGAGCUGCAUGCAAUAAAAGUUAAAGAAAUCAAGGAGAACAAGUAG